rnacentral:lncRNA from 1 species
GGGGACCAAAUUCCUACCCUAAUGAGACACACGAAAAGCUUAAGCAGUAGGCAUUUUUUCUUCUUCUUCGGGUACUUCCAGUGCGGUACGAUUAAGACCUUCUUCCAGUUUGAUUUUUUGUCUUCGACUUUAAGGUGAGGGAUUUUACGCUUAUUCAUAUGGUUAUAUAUGUUUUUAUUAUCGUGUUUGAUUACUUGUUUACGUGCAUCUUAUGACUAUGUUGUUAUGUGUGAUCAUAGGACCUAAGCCAUUGAUCUAUGUUAUGUUCAUGGAUCUAAGCCUGAUCUAUAUGUGGACCUAAGCCAUUGAUCUAUGUUAUGUGCGAUCAUGGGACCUAAGCCAUUGAUCUAUGUUGAUAAGUUGAUCAUGGGACCUAAGCCAUUGAUCUAUGUAUGUGUUUGGUCAUGGGACUUAAGCCAUCGACUCAAACUAUGAUUAUGUUUGUCAAGGGGCUCCGGUCUCUUGGCAUAUGUUUGCAAGUAUGAUAACAUGAUUUGAUUAUAUAUGUGACAUAUAUGGAUAUUUGUUAUGUUCCUCACUGAGUAUAUUUUCAAUAUGCUCAUCCCUUAUCCUUUUCAGUUUUGUGAUUCCAGAGUCGAGGUGGCCAUGGAAGUGGAGAAUGACUAGGGAUAGAGAUUUUGCAUUGAACUUUUAGUUGAACUUGUUAAGUUUUAGUUUAUUAUUUUAUUUUUUUUAUUAUUUUAAAUUUUGAUAGUCAAGGAAUUUUAGUUUAACUAUUAAUUCUUCAAGUUUUUAGUUUUAAAAGUUUAUGAAAAAUGGGGCGUUACAUACCACCCGAACUCACACCCAACCCUCGCGCCCAAUCUUAUUCGAUCCGCUUAAAUUAAGGGUAAUACAGUUUAAAAUUGCAAAAAAUUGCCAAAAAUUAUAUUUUUUAAGAUGAAGAACCAAAUAUUAAGUUUUAAUCCCCAAUAUAACUAUAUAAGUAUAUAUUCUCUAUUUAUAAUACAUAUAUCAAUUAUUUAAUAGAGUUUACGCUAAAUUACAUAAACUAUAUAUAAUGGAGCUGUGGUACGUAGUGGAUAUGCGUAAGAGUUGACAAGGACAAUUCUUGAACGGAAAUUAAAAUCAAAGAAUUUAAGCUGGUGGGAAAAAAUCUAGCCACGAGUGAGCGACAUAAUACUGCAAGAAAUUAGGUAUUUCAUGAAUUAUUCUCAAGUGCAACAGUUCUAUCAUAUCCCUUGGUGGUUAAUACAUAGCCUCACUCCCAUCUCUAAUUUAUUCUGAAUUCUAUGUCUUAUUUCUUGAAAAUUUUCAUCUCAUUUUCUUCUAUUUAAUUAUUAUAUUGUAAUAGAGAGAUAUUCUUAGAUAAUCUAUACUGCUACAAACAGUGACGGAAAUUUUGAAAUUAGGGAUUCGAUAAAUAAUUACAUAAUCAUAAAUUUUAAAUAUAUUUAAUGUUAAAAAUAAUAUAUCUCCAAAUAUUGUUUAAUUUUAAUAUUUAGGAUUUGUUUUUAAGUUGGGCUUUAUAUUUAUUUUCGGGGGUGAAAAAAUUAAAUCUAAAAUCAUUUAUAUACAAAUAUUAAUAGAUAAUCUAUACUACUAUAAGGGUGCGUUCACUUUGAUGAAUGAGAAAAGGAGGGAUAAUAUAAAUUUAUGCCGUUAAAUUUCUUCUUUUUUAUCCCAUAUUUUACACAAAAGAGAAGUUUAUCAUUUUUCCUUCCUUAUUUUCACUUCAAGGAGGGGUAAUAUUAUCCCUUCUCUUUUGUGUAAAAUGUGAGAUAAGAAAAGAGACAUUUAAAGGCAUAAAUUUUUGUUAUCCCUUCAUUUAGAGGGAUAAAAAGCAAACACUAAACGGUAUAAAUUGUAUAUAUAACAUUAUACCGGUACAUACCAUUGUUAUGGUAUAACGACAUAAACCAAAAUUUUAGUAUAUACUGUUGUACCAAUACAUAUUAUGUUCCAUAUACUAGUGCAUAUCCAAAAUUUCAGUAUACAGUACUAAAAUUUACUUUUCAUAAUAUAUAUAUAUAUAUAUAACAUUGAUAAAUUAUUAAAAAAUAUAUAAUAUAUAUUUUUAUAUAUUUUUUACUUCCAUCAAAUCCUAAUAUAUAUUUUUAUGUAUGUUACUCCUAAUAUAAUGUAAAAAUUAAAAUUAAAUAAAAUUAAAUUGAUUGAGUAUGAGUUAAAGAUGAUUUUAAUUCAUAACUAACAAGUACUAUAUUUUAAAAAGUAAAUGGAUUUAUUAAUAUAAUAGAAUGAACUAUAAUCUGUACUAUUAUUAGUAUGUAAGAAAAAGAGUUCAAAUAUAUUUAUAAGUAUGACUAUAAUUGUAAAAUAAGUUACAUCUAACUUAUAUAAUAAUUUACAAUGAGAUAAAAACAUAUAUAAAUUCUCAAGUAGAUAUUUGAAAAAUUAAAUGAAUGAGUUAAAUAUUAUAAAAGGGUUUUGGCAAAUAAAAUCACGAACUAUUUUGAAAUUGUAAUUUUAACAUGACUUUUGAAGUAUGAUAAAUUAAAUCACCAUUUUUCUAAUUUUUAUAAUUAUGUCCUCCCUUUUUUUUUGGUCUUCGGAGUGCUGAAUUGAAGCUUACAUAGAUUAGUAAAAGACGACAUCUUUUUUUUUUUUUUUAAGUCUAAAUGAUAUUGUUUCGUACAAUUUCAAUUAAAAAUUUCCUCAAAUUAUAAAGAAAAUGUAUCAUCUAUAUGCACCCUAAUUUCCAAUAUUCAACAAUUUUAUGUGACGGAUAUUAUGUGAAUAUUCGUAACAUGAAUAUUAUGUGACGAACUAAUCUACGUAAACUUCAACUCAACAAUCUAGCUAUUGGAAAAAUUUUGGGGGACGAAAUUGUAAAAAUUGAAAAGGUAAUAAUUUACGUUAAAAUUUUAAUUUGUAAAUAGUUCAUGAUUUUAUUUGCCGAAAACCCUAUAAUAAAUAAUAUUAAAUAGAGUAUUUAAUUUAUAUCGCAUAGUCUAUAUUAUUAGUACAUAAUGAAAAAUGGUUAAGUUUGACUUAUAUUUUAAACUUUCAUAUAUACUUCUUUUCAUGUAUAUUACAAUCUAUAGUUUAUACAAUUUAAUAUAAGCUAAUGAUAGGGUUAAUAGUGUUUUAUAUCCCGAACUUUUAAUAUUUUCCAUAAAAUGUCACGAACUUUCAUUUUCUCCUAAAAAGUCCCGAACUUUCAACUUUUUUCAUAAAAUGUCCCGCUAUACAAAAUUUGGUGACAGAAAGAUAACUUAUCUUGCGCGGAUGAAAUAUUUUGAAAAUCUUCAUUGUUGGAAAACCAUAUCAGGAACCACUGUUGGUGGAAAUAUGUUGAAAGCUCCGAAUUUUUUGUCAUCUUUCCAUCACUGAACGGGACAUUUUAUGAAAAAAGUUGAAAGUUCGGGAUUUUUUAGGAGAAAAUGAAAGUUCGGAAUAUUUUAUAGAAAAUGUUGAAAGUUCAGGUGUAAUACCCCGUUUCCUCGAGCUAAGUUUAGAAUAAUUUUGAACUUAGAUUUAAGAUGAUUCGCGCCGGAUUGAGAAAAAGAAUUUAUUUAAUUCCAACAAAAUAUUUACAAAAAACGUUUGUAAAUAUUUUAGCUAUUUAAAUUUUUGUGCAUUGCAUAUUAAUUUAAAAAUGAGCAUGUGUAUAUGUGAAAUAUUUUACACAUAAUUAAUAUUUUUACAAGAUUUAAAUUAAAGUCUAUGAUUGGACUUUAAUUAUUUUAUGUGUUGGGCUUUGAUUUUUAUAUUGGACCCCUUAAGUUAAGUAUUUGAUUAACCAAAUGAAACCCUCCCUCACGCACUCCCUCCCCUCUCUCACACUCCUCUCUUUCUCCACCUUAAAUGAAGCACACAUGCAUGCAUAGUAACCUUUCUAAUGCCUACUCUAUCUAGCAAACAUCCUCCACACUUCAAGCUCUCACACAUUUACUACAAGAUUAUGCAUUAAUAGCCAAGAUCACACAUGCACAUGCACAAUCUUCCUCCCCCUCCCUCAUGCUCGGCUCUCUCUCUUCUCUCUUCUCUCCCUCUCUCUUCUCACUCUCCUACACCAUUAAUAGGAUGACAUCCUCAACAUUUAUCAUCCCAUUGAAUUCAAGAUAUGCAUUAAGUGAAGAAAUCACUCCAUCACAUCAUCUCAUCAAAGCUCAUCAAAGCAAGCUCCCCUCUCUCCUUUUCUACUCCCUUCGGCAGCCCCCUCCCCUCCUCACUCCACCACACUUCUCUCCUUGUUUCACCAUUUUUGGAAAGGAUUAAGGAAGCCAAAAGUGCUACCCUCACACCAAGCUAUCAAGUGUACUUCAAUCUUCAAGAUCAAGCUCCAAGAGGCCUACGCAUCAUUCUCUACUCCACCUCCAUUGAUCUUGUUGGUAGCAACCUAAAUCCUCCUCUCAUGAUUAUAUAUAUAUUUUCCAUGAUAUAUAAGCAUGUAUAUUGAAGUAUAUUGAAGCAUGAUAGUCCCCUCUCUACUCUUGUAAUUCUCGAAAAUUUUGAUAAAAGAGAGCAUGAUGAAUUCUUUCAACUUUCCACUACCUUCAUGUGCUCAUACACCUCUCCAUGUUAGAUACAUGAGAGGAAGAGAUAUGUUUCUUGAGAACCCUUGAAAGGGGUAUAUGUUAUGAUUAGUGAAGCAUGAUAAGUUCUUAGUAAGAAAAUGCAUGAGAAUGAUAGUGAAAGCAUGAAUCUAUGAGGAUAUGUGUAUAUGUUGUAAAUUCGACCAUUUCGGGAAUUUUCUUACGUUCUGGACUGAUCAGUUGACGAGGUUUCCCUCGUUCAAAAAUCUUCAAAAUUUUACAGUGGGUAGAUAUAUGAGUCUUGUAAGCACUGGUAAAAUUUCAAGUCAUUUGGACUUGGUUUACUACCUUUUUAAAAUAUAAAACUUUUACUGCGCAUUUCCGCCGGAAAUUUAGAAGGGCAGUCUGUAGAGUCACACUUUUCAGUGACUUUCAAAAAUAUUCAGCCUCCCAACUUUUUAUGGGAGAAAGAUACAUGUGUUUUACAGACGCAUGUCAAAUUUCAAAGCAUUCGGACAACGUUUACUAAUUUUUAAAAAUCCUAGCUUCCAGUCGUGCGAAACUGCCGAAUCUGGUAGACUGUGGGAAAACACCCAUAUCUCUUAAACCACUUGGAGUUUUUCACUCUACUUUUUUUUAAACAAAACUAGACUCAAAGAGGUUUUCAUCGGUAUAAGUCUCGAGUCCAGGAGAUUUCGGAAUUAAAACAGUUUAUUCGUUGAAGUUGAGACAGAACAGAGUGAUGAACUGUUGGUGUCCGAAAAUUUUACCUUAAUUUUGUAUUAAGGAUUUUAAAGGGUUUUAGUGGAGUAAUACACCAUGUUAUGACAUGAAAUUGCAUUAUAUUUUACAAUAAAAGUAUUUAUGAUUUAAUUGGUUUAUUUAUAAUUCCAAUUAUUAAAGAAAGUCGAUUAAGAAUAUUGUUGGUGUUCUUAACUCAAGAGAAAUGUUUUCAUUAUUUAUUCAUUAAAUUUGAAAACCCGGCUAAGUGAAUCAUAGAAUAUUAAGCACUACACCAUGACCUAAGAUUUAGAUUCAAGGAGACCUAUUGAGGAUAGAUUUCUUGUAGGCUUUGAACGUCAGGAGGAUUAGCACUGCUAUUCCGAUUCUGAGAUAAGGUUAAACGACAGGCUUUGCCUAUACAGGUGGGCUUACUUUCCAAAUGUAUAAAGUAUGAUUGAGUUAUUAAGCUCUAAAUGUUUCAAUGAAAUGCAAAAAUGUUUAUUUAAUGAAAUGCAAACUGUUUAUCCAAUAAAAUGUUUAUGUGCACUCUGCUCUGUUUAAGGCUCGCCACAACGAAUCAAUUGAGGUUCUCUUAUAGCCUAACACGUUAUUUGAGAAUUGUGUACACCGUUAGCUGACUCGGUGGGUUGAUCUCAAUUCGGGCACUAACUAAGAGGCGUUAUAAGGGUGCUUGCUGGAUGUGUUCCGAAGCACGUAAUGUAAGGGCCUGCCUGGGUAGCGUCCCGAGGUCAAAAGUAAACUUGUCUGGGUUACGCCCUCAGUUCAAGUAAAUGGGAGAAACGGAUCCGUCGGUGGCUAGAGGUCCGGGAUCACAGCGAGUAACAGAAAGGGAGUGUGACAUGUGCGCACAAAUGAAAGAAAUGUUUUAACAUGCUUAGAAGUUCUUUCACUUUAAAACCUUCUAAGUCAUGUCAAGUAUGAUUUGAUAAACUGUCUUUAUGAAAAUGUGAAAUGUUUCAGAAAAUGCAUGCCCACUAAGUACAUUAGUACUUAGCCCAAAAAUACUUUCAAAUGUUUUCAGGUUGGCUGGCUGGUGCUGACGGGACGGAGCUGAGGCUAGGGUCAAAUUCCUAUUUUAGACUUCCGUUGUAGCAAUCACUCAUAUCCGUCUUUUGACUAAAUUUAUGCUAAUGAAUGUCGGUUGUCAGAAGCAUGAAACAAAACUUGUGAUCCAAAGGGGCAUAGCCCGACUUGAUAUUUUAUUACUCGGCUUUAACAAGGUUUUUCCCUUGUUUAUUUCUAUGAAUUAUUCACACCUCGAUUAUAUUUAUUCCUUCAAGAAUUGGGGUGUGACAGUGUUCCACUUGUAGUUUUCAAUCAAACUCAUAGAGGAACUGGUACAGCAAAGUAAGAGUGUAUACACUUAGCCCGGUACUUGUGUAACACCCCGAUAAUUUAGAUUUAUUUUAUAAGUUUAAUUAAUAGUAUUUUCUUGUAUAGCUUAUUAUUAUUAUUACAUGAUACAUUUAGAUAUGCACCAUUAAUUUUUAGCUAGACUAUUAUUAUUAUUAUUAUUAUUAUUAUUAUUAUUAUUAUUAUUAUUAUUAUUAUUAUUAGUAUUAUUCUUGUUUUCUAAUAGAACUAGAACUCUUUAAGGACUAGUAUAAAUAGAGGUACAAUUAUUACGUUAAGGUGGGAGCAGCCGAAAGCAAGAAAAAAAAACGGUACUUUCUCUUAUUUUCUUUAUGCAAAGUUUUGCUAAAUUGAUUUUAUUUGUGCCAAGCAGUAAGUUUUCAAAUUCUUAGAACUUAGCAAAUUUUUUACAAACUGUUCCUUUCAUCAAAAUCGAAGCUCUCAAUUAUUUUGUUUUAAUUUCCAAUUAGUAAUUGUUUUCAAGCAAGCUAUCAUUCUGUUCCGUAUAAAUAUGAGUAUCCAAAUAGUUGACUUUCUUUUUUAGUUUAUUUAGGUUACACGAAUAAUCAAAUAUAUAUAUAUAUAUAUAUAUAUAUAUAUUGUAUGAUUAGGUAUACAUAUAUACGAGUAUAUUUUAAAUUUAUAAGAUUUGAUAUAGAAUUUUAGAUUAAGGUUAUUUGAAUUAUUUAUGUGAUUAGGUGCGGCACAAUUAAGACCUUCAUUCCGGAUUUGAGUUUUAGCUUCGACUUUAAGGUGAGGGAUUUUACACUUAUUCAUAUGGUUAUAUAUGUUUUAUUAUCGCGUUGAUUACUUGUUUACGUGCAUCCUUGACUAUGUUGUUAUGUGUGAUCAUGGGAUCUAAGCCAUUGAUCUAUGUUAUGUGCGAUCAUGGGACCUAAGCCAUUGAUCUAUGUUAUGUGCGAUCAUGGGACCUAAGCCAUUGAUCUAUUAUGUUAUGUGCGAUCAUGGGACCUAAGCCAUUGAUCUAUG